rnacentral:rRNA from 1 species
CUACGGGUUGCUCCAGUGAGGAAUAUUGCACAAUGGGGGGAACCCUGAUGCAGCAACGCCGCGUGGAGGAUGACGCAUUUCGGUGUGUAAACUCCUUUUAUAUGUCAAGAAAAUGACGGUAGCAUAUGAAUAAGCACCGGCUAACUCCGUGCCAGCAGCCGCGGUAAUACGGAGGGUGCAAGCGUUACUCGGAAUCACUGGGCGUAAAGGACGCGUAGGCGGGUUGGAAAGUCAGGUGUGAAAUCCUACAGCUUAACUGUAGAACUGCACUUGAAACUUCUAAUCUAGAGUAUGGGAGGGGGAGAUGGAAUUAGUGGUGUAGGGGUAAAAUCCGUAGAUGUCACUAGGAAUACCUAAAGCGAAGGCGAUCUUCUGGAACAUUACUGACGCUAAGGCGUGAAAGCGUGGGGAGCAAACAGGAUUAGAUACCCGGGUAGUC